AUUAUUUUGGCAGAUUAGUGCGGUGGAUUUAGAAUCUAUAUAUGUAUUUAUACAAAUAAUA
rnacentral:tRNA from 1 species